UACGUAGGGAGCGAGCGUUGUUCGGAAUUACUGGGCGUAAAGGGUGUGUAGGCGGUGCUUUCAGUCUGUUGUGAAAUCUCCCGGCUUAACUGGGAGGAUGCAGCGGAAACUAGAGUGCUAGAGGGUGGGAGAGGUAAGCGGAAUUCCUGGUGUAGCGGUGAAAUGCGUAGAUAUCAGGAGGAACACCGGUGGCGAAGGCGGGUCUCUGGGCAGUAACUGACGCUGAGGAGCGAAAGCGUGGGGAGCGAACAGG
rnacentral:rRNA from 1 species